CCGCCGCUGGCGAAGCCGCCGGCACCUGGACCACCGCCGGGUGCGCCGCCGGUGCGGAAAGAGUAUUCGAAGCCCCCCGGUCCCGCGCGGCGUCCACCGCCGCCUCCGGGGAAGCCGCCCUCGAAACCCUGAAACUUCGGUUUNUCGCCGCGAUCGAACUGCUUGCGCUUGUCCUCGUCGCCAAGGAUUUCAUUCGCACUGUUCAAUUCGGCAAAGCGGUCGGCCGCUUUCGGGUCGCCCUUGUUGGCAUCGGGGUGGUGCUUCUUGGCGAGCUUGCGAUACGCGCUCUUGAUCGCCGCAGUGCUGGCACCCCGCUGCACCCCCAGGACCUCAUAGGGGUCGCGCAUUCGUUCCGUCUCCUUGCAGGAAUUCAGGUGAGGGCUGAGCCCUUUGCCCUAUGUG
rnacentral:misc_RNA from 1 species